GCGAGGGAUCAUUACCGAGUUACCAACUCAAACCCUUGUGAUUUCUGUAUCUGUUGCUUCGGCAGGCGGGCCCAGGGCGGGCUCUAUCAUGCCUGCCGAAAUACCAAACUCUUCUAUCCUGCCCUCUGAAGAAAAGACAAAUAGUUAAAACUUUCAACAACGGAUCUCUUGGUUCUGGCAUCGAUGAAGAACGCAGCGAAAUGCGAUAAGUAAUGUGAAUUGCAGAAUUCAGUGAAUCAUCGAAUCUUUGAACGCACAUUGCGCCCGCCAGUAUCCUGGCGGGCAUGCCUGUUCGAGCGUCAUUUCAACCCUCAGGACCUCCUGGUGUUGGGGCGUCACGGCCACCGUGAGCCCUCAAAGUCAGUGGCGGGCUCUGUCACACACCGAGCGUAGUAAUCUCUCGCUUAGGGGUGUGCCUAGGCGCGGCCUUUUGUGACACAUAUCAAGUUGACCUCGGAUCAGGUAGGAAUACCCGCUGAACUUAA
rnacentral:rRNA from 1 species